AUCACUUUGAAACACCGGUUCUCGUUCGAUCACAGAAGUUAAGCAUCGUCGAGCCUGGUCAGUACCUAGAUAGGUGACCGCCUGGGAAUACCAGGUGCUGUAAG